GCUUACGGCCAUACCAACCUGGCUAUGCCUGAUCUCGUCUGAUCUCUGAAGCUAAGCAGGUUUGGGCCUGGUUAGUACUUGGAUGGGAGACCGCCUGGGAAUACCAGGUGCUGUAAGCU
ensembl:rRNA 5S_rRNA 5S ribosomal RNA